GUCGAACGCUGGCGGCAUGCCUAAUACAUGCAAGUCGAACGCAGUGGGGACGGGUGAGUAACACGUGGGUAACCUCCCAUCAGAGGGGAUAACACUUGGCAACAGGUGCUAAACCGCUACUGAUGGAUGGAGCCGCGGUGCAUUAGCUAGUUGGUGGGGUAACGGCCCACCAAGGCCACGAUGCAUAGCUGGUCUGAGAGGGUGACCGGCCACACUGGAACUGAGACACGGUCCAGACUCCUACGGGAGGCAGCAGUAGGGAAUCUUCGGCAAUGGACGAAAGCCUGACCGAGCAACGCCGCGUGAGUGAAGAAGGUUUUCGGGUCGUAAAACUCUGUUGUUGGGGAAGCGGUAUCUAACCAGAAAGCCACGGCUAACUACGUGCCAGCAGCCGCGGUAAUAC
rnacentral:rRNA from 1 species